AUGCGGGUGUAUUACUCAACAUCCUUAAUCAGACCUUAUUGAGGAACCUUUUGAGCAGAAUGGGCUACUCGACUUGAAGAAAAUUCUAACUGGGCCCCACCUGCAAGGUCAUGCGUUGUAUAUCUUGAUAUGAGAUCACCAUAUCAUACACAU